rnacentral:rRNA from 1 species
UUUGAUCAUGGCUCAGGAUGAACGCUGGCGGCGUGCCUAAUACAUGCAAGUCGAACGAGUUCUGAUUAUUGAAAGAUGCUUGCAUCUUGAUUUAAUUUUGAACGAGUGGCGGACGGGUGAGUAACACGUGGGUAACCUGCCCUUAAGUGGGGGAUAACACUUGGAAACAGAUGCUAAUACCGCAUAAAUCCAAGAACCGCAUGGUUCUUGGCUGAAAGAUGGCGUAAGCUAUCGCUUUUGGAUGGACCCGCGGCGUAUUAGCUAGUUGGUGAGGUAACGGCUCACCAAGGCAAUGAUACGUAGCCGAACUGAGAGGUUGAUCGGCCACAUUGGGACUGAGACACGGCCCAAACUCCUACGGGAGGCAGCAGUAGGGAAUCUUCCACAAUGGACGCAAGUCUGAUGGAGCAACGCCGCGUGAGUGAAGAAGGCUUUCGGGUCGUAAAACUCUGUUGUUGGAGAAGAAUGGUCGGCAGAGUAACUGUUGUCGGCGUGACGGUAUCCAACCAGAAAGCCACGGCUAACUACGUGCCAGCAGCCGCGGUAAUACGUAGGUGGCAAGCGUUAUCCGGAUUUAUUGGGCGUAAAGCGAGCGCAGGCGGUUUUUUAAGUCUGAUGUGAAAGCCCUCGGCUUAACCGAGGAAGUGCAUCGGAAACUGGGAAACUUGAGUGCAGAAAAGGACAGUGGAACUCCAUGUGUAGCGGUGAAAUGCGUAGAUAUAUGGAAGAACACCAGUGGCGAGGGCGGCUGUCUGGUCUGUAACUGACGCUGAGGCUCGAAAGCAUGGGUAGCGAACAGGAUUAGAUACCCUGGUAGUCCAUGCCGUAAACGAUGAAUGCUAGGUGUUGGAGGGUUUCCGCCCUUCAGUGCCGCAGCUAACGCAUUAAGCAUUCCGCCUGGGGAGUACGACCGCAAGGUUGAAACUCAAAGGAAUUGACGGGGGCCCGCACAAGCGGUGGAGCAUGUGGUUUAAUUCGAAGCAACGCGAAGAACCUUACCAGGUCUUGACAUCUUUUGAUCACCUGAGAGAUCAGGUUUCCCCUUCGGGGGCAAAAUGACAGGUGGUGCAUGGUUGUCGUCAGCUCGUGUCGUGAGAUGUUGGGUUAAGUCCCGCAACGAGCGCAACCCUUAUGACUAGUUGCCAGCAUUUAGUUGGGCACUCUAGUAAGACUGCCGGUGACAAACCGGAGGAAGGUGGGGAUGACGUCAAAUCAUCAUGCCCCUUAUGACCUGGGCUACACACGUGCUACAAUGGAUGGUACAACGAGUUGCGAGACCGCGAGGUCAAGCUAAUCUCUUAAAGCCAUUCUCAGUUCGGACUGUAGGCUGCAACUCGCCUACACGAAAGUCGGAAAUCGCUAGUAAUCGCGGAUCAGCGCGCCGCGGUGAAUACGUUCCCGGGCCUUGCACACACCGCCCGUC